rnacentral:rRNA from 1 species
UUGAACGCUGGCGGCAUGCCUUACACAUGCAAGUCGAACGGUAACGGGCCUUCGGGUGCCGACGAGUGGCGAACGGGUGAGUAAUACAUCGGAACGUGCCCGAUCGUGGGGGAUAACGAGGCGAAAGCUUUGCUAAUACCGCAUACGAUCUACGGAUGAAAGCAGGGGACCGCAAGGCCUUGCGCGGACGGAGCGGCCGAUGGCAGAUUAGGUAGUUGGUGGGAUAAAAGCUUACCAAGCCGACGAUCUGUAGCUGGUCUGAGAGGAUGAUCAGCCACACUGGGACUGAGACACGGCCCAGACUCCUACGGGAGGCAGCAGUGGGGAAUUUUGGACAAUGGGCGCAAGCCUGGUCCAGCCAUGCCGCGUGCAGGAUGAAGGCCUUCGGGUUGUAAACUGCUUUUGUACGGAACGAAAAGCCUUCUUUUAAUACAGGAGGGUCAUGACGGUACCGUAAGAAUAAGCACCGGCUAACUACGUG